rnacentral:tRNA from 1 species
UCCAGGGUAGCCUAGUGGACAUGGCAAAACAUUGUGGGUUCGAUUUCCAUCCCUGGAC